rnacentral:misc_RNA from 1 species
GAAAUGCGAUAAGUAAUGUGAAUUGCAGAAUUCAGUGAUUCAUCGAAUCUUUGAACGCACCUUGCGCUCCUUGGUAUUCCUUGGAGCAUGCCUGUUUGAGUAUCAUGAAAUCUUCAAAGUAAAUCUUUUGUUAACUCAAUUGGUUUCUACUUUGGUAUUGGAGGUCUUUGCAGCUUCACACCUGCUCCUCUUUGUUCAUUAGCUGGAUCUCAGUGUUAUGCUUGGUUCCACUCGGCGUGAUAAGUUAUCUAUCGCUGAGGACACUGUAAAAGGUGGCCAAGGUAAAUGCAGAUGAACCGCUUCUAAUAGUCCAUUGACUUGGACAAUACUUUUAUGAUCUGAUCUCAAAUCAGGUAGGAAUACCCGCUGAACUUAAGC